GCUGCGGGGAAGCCCUGCGCGCCGCCCCUCGGGGCAGCUUGCGGGUGGAACCGNUGUCCCCGUUCCACAAACCCACCCCUGUGCACUUUUUUGUUUUGGGACUCACGGACCGGUCGGCUUGCGCAAGCGUGCCGGCAGGGCCGCCCAACUCCACAUUUACACAAACUCUUAGAAUGGCUUUGGCUUUUUGAAGCAACUUUGUAACAACUUUCAACAACGGAUCUCUUGGCUCUCGCAUCGAUGAAGAACGCAGCGAAAUGCGAUAAGUAAUGUGAAUUGCAGAAUUCAGUGAAUCAUCGAAUCUUUGAACGCACCUUGCGCCCCUUGGUAUUCCGAGGGGCAUGCCUGUUUGAGUGUCUUGAAACCAUCGUCCCGUGCGGUCGCUGCAAAGCGACCGUUCCUCGGGUCGGACUUUGGGGGUUCUCUGCUGCCGCAAGGCGGCUCCCCUUGAAUGCGUCGGCUUCUGUUGGCCCUCUUCUGUGGUCUGUGCUGCCUGGGCGUUGUAUCUUCCUCGCUCUGCUGUGUGGCACAUGUCCCGGAGGUUGGACCUAGCCUCGGCCUUGCCUUUGGAGUGGCGGCCACUACGCUUUGUUGCGAAUCUGACCUCAAAUCAGGUAGGACUACCCGCUGAACUUAAGCAUAUCAAUAAGCGGAGGAAAAGAAACUAACAAGGAUUCCCCUAGUAACUGCGAGUGAAGCGG
rnacentral:rRNA from 1 species